rnacentral:rRNA from 1 species
UGGGGAAUUUUGGACAAUGGGGGAAACCCUGAUCCAGCCAUCCCGCGUGUGCGAUGAAGGCCUUCGGGUUGUAAAGCACUUUUGGCAGGAAAGAAACGUCAUGGGUUAAUACCCCGUGAAACUGACGGUACCUGCAGAAUAAGCACCGGCUAACUACGUGCCAGCAGCCGCGGUAAUACGUAGGGUGCAAGCGUUAAUCGGAAUUACUGGGCGUAAAGCGUGCGCAGGCGGUUCGGAAAGAAAGAUGUGAAAUCCCAGAGCUCAACUUUGGAACUGCAUUUUUAACUUCAGCGCUAGAGUGUGUCAGAGGGAGGUGGAAUUCCGCGUGUAGCAGUGAAAUACGUAGAUAUGCGGAGGAACACCGAUGGCGAAGGCAGCCUCCUGGGAUAACACUGACGCUCAUGCACGAAAGCGUGGGGAGCAAACAGG